rnacentral:misc_RNA from 1 species
AAGUCGUAACAAGGUUUCCGUAGGUGAACCUGCGGAAGGAUCAUUAACGAGUUUUGACUGGGUUGUAGCUGGCCUUCCGAGGCAUGUGCACACCCUGCUCAUCCACUCUACACCUGUGCACUUAUGUGGGUUUCAGAUUGCAAAGCGGGCCUUUACGGGUCUGUGGAGCGUCUGUGCCUGCGUUUUACUAUAAACUCUUAAAAGUAACAGAAUGUGUAUUGCGAUGUAACGCAUCUAUAUACAACUUUCAGCAACGGAUCUCUUGGCUCUC